AUACGUAGGGGGCGAGCGUUGUCCGGAAUGACUGGGCGUAAAGGGUACGUAGGCGGCCAGAUAAGUCAGAUGUGAAAGGCAUGGGCUUAACCCGUGUUAGCAUUUGAAACUGUGUGGCUUGAGUUAAGGAGAGGAAAGUGGAAUUCCUGGUGUAGCGGUGAAAUGCGUAGAUAUCAGGAGGAAUACCAGUGGCGAAGGCGACUUUCUGGACUUAAACUGACGCUGAGGUACGAAAGCGUGGGGAGCAAACAGGAUUAGAUACCCUGGUAGUCCACGCCGUAAACGAUGAGUGCUAGGUGUCGGGGUCGAACCUCGGUGCCGGAGCUAACGCAUUAAGCACUCCGCCUGGGGAGUACGUUCGCAAGAAUGAA
rnacentral:rRNA from 1 species